AUUGAACGCUGGCGGAAUGCUUUACACAUGCAAGUCGAGCGGCAGCACGGGGGCAACCCUGGUGGCGAGCGGCGAACGGGUGAGUAAUACAUCGGAACAUGCCCAGUCGUGGGGGAUAACACUUCGAAAGAAGUGCUAAUACCGCAUACGUCCUGAGGGAGAAAGCGGGGGAUCUUCGGACCUCGCGCGAUUGGAGGGGCCGAUGUCAGAUUAGCUAGUUGGUGGGGUAAAGGCCUACCAAGGCAACGAUCUGUAGCUGGUCUGAGAGGAUGAUCAGCCACACUGGGACUGAGACACGGCCCAGACUCCUACGGGAGGCAGCAGUGGGGAAUUUUGGACAAUGGGGGCAACCCUGAUCCAGCCAUUCCGCGUGAGUGAAGAAGGCCUUCGGGUUGUAAAGCUCUUUCGGCAGGAACGAAACGGCGAGCUCUAACAUAGCUUGCUAAUGACGGUACCUGAAGAAGAAGCACCGGCUAACUACGUGCCAGCAGCCGCCGUAAAAC
rnacentral:rRNA from 1 species